AUUCACUAUUCAUAAGCAACUUAACAUCUUAGCCUUCCAAUCUUCCUCCAAUCUCAGCCACUCGAUUAUUCUUCUCCUUACUUCAGCCAUCUCCUUUCUCUCUGACUGUGUUUCUAUUCCAACCGAUUCUCUCUCCUCUUUCUCUUUGUUUCUCUCACUCUUUAGUCAACUUUUUAGGGUUUGAUAUUGUGGGAAUUUUUAGACAUUCAUCAAUGGCAAAAAUUAUGGAUAUGGAUGAGGAUUUCAAGGAUGUUUUCUGUGAGUAUAAUUAGCUGAAGCUGAAUCAUUCGGCGCCGAAAGCCUGCCCGCCGGUGGUGGUUAAGAAGGAGAAGCUUCAACGGUGUUGUUUCCCUGUUCACAGUUGCUACUAAUGGUUUGAAGCGAGUUCUUAUUGCCACUGUCACUACCAUCACCAUCUAAAAUGAAGAAGAUAUGGUAUUGAAGAACCCAAAUCCAAUUAAAGAAGGAACAUUAGAAAGGCAGGAAUAAUGAAUUAAAGAAGGAAUUGAAUUGAUAGCUCCUCUAGGAGAGAGUGAUGAUGAAGAGAUAGGCUGGUGGGCACGUGUUUUUGCAGCCUUCUUUGUUUGCAAUUAGAUGAAUCUAUGAGAGGGAAGAAAGUGCUUUUGCAGCCAUUUUUCAAGAAUUAGUAAUUCUUGAAGAAGUUGGAAAAAGGUUAUGAAGAACAAAUAUCAUAAUUUCAUCAUUAAUGAGGUUUAUGACCAUAAUGGAUCGAGGUCUAUCAUCAGUUCUGGCAUUGCUGGGGUUUUCUUGUGUGCCAAAGUCCUUUUUUCUAUCAUUUCAAGCUUCAUGAAAUGGCCAAAGUCUAGCUAUGGAAGAACAAGUUCUUCUUUCUCUCUCCUUUCUUUGUGUCUCUGAAAAAUGUUGUCAAUGAUUAGUGCUUUUCUUAUUUAUUAAUUAUCUAUGAAUAUCUUCUGGUUUUACAUUUAUUUAUAUAGUUUGGCGCUCAUUAUUAUGGGAUUAUGCGCGAGAGAGUUUCAGGAGGCUUGACAUAGGGAAGGGAUCAUUCAGAGUAUUGGAAUUUGGCUCCUUCUUCUACAACAAGAUGCAACAAGAUCGACGUACUAAGAUCAACGCGGUAGUUGGUCAAAUUGCCUUCUCCCAGUUUCAGGAAUAUUUAGAGAAACGUUUUACGGGAGAAUGAACUCUGUCGACGAGAUUGGAACUCGAAUUUCCCAAAAAUCGAAGGUAUGUUUACGAAUGUGGUAUGUUCUCUCCAAAACUUUGGCUGAGGAAGCUGCCUGGAAGCUUGCAAAAGAGAAGGGUAUUGACUUGGUGACAAUAAAUCCUGGAAUGGUUAUUAGACCAUUGUUGCAACCAACACUCAACACAAGUGCAGCUACAAUAGCCAACUAUUCAGUGGUAUGUCAUGAAGUAGAUUCGACUUGCUCAACAAACUGACAGACUUCGCAGAUGUGCUCACCAAGAGUGCUAAUGAUUUUACCGUGCAAUCUGACCUCCGAGGUGGAUAUCUUCUUUCACAUCACAGAGCAUCGGUUUCAAGUUGUUCGUCCUUAUUGAUAUCUGCAGAAUUCAGGCCAAGAGUACCACUUGGUGGAGGACAUAGUGUGAAGAGUGCACUAUUUAGUGUUUGCUCCUAUUAAGGUGAAGCAUCCACUCAAGGUCUCUUGAGGCUGUCAAUAUCAUUCAAGCGCCCACUACUUGCUCUUAACCGGCAAUAAUGGGCAGUGUGUUUGUCGGCUUUGUUACUUUAUUUUUGCGAUUAGUACAGUAUAAUUGUCUCAAAUACAUGUUGAUCGAUUAUUUUGUACUAUGCGUUUUUUGGGUUGAAAAAUGGUAUCUUGUCGUUAGUUUCUUAUGUUGUCU